UAGCUCAGUUGGCAGAGUGCUUGCCUUGCAGGCAAAAGACCCUGGGUUCAAUCCCCAG
rnacentral:tRNA from 1 species